AUGGCUGCAAUUGGAAUUGACUGCAUUUGUUAAUAAUGUGAAUGUGAUUCCCAACAGCCACAUACAUAAAUCUAGUGGUUCCCAAAGCAGCACCUGCCCAGUUAUCAGGUCUUCUGUGAACCGAUGCCCCACACAGU